GCAGAAUUCGGUAAACUCCAGGUUGCUGUCCAUAGAGGACAAGUUGGCGGCUCUGCAGUCGAACAACUGUGCGGUAGAGACUAACUACAAGAAGAGAAGACGUGUGCAGAAUCCCAAGCUUAGGAAGCAGUAUGCCGUCUUCACAACUCGGAGACAAAUUGCAGGCGCUAUGAACCGGAGCGAGGCGGUGACCUCUUAUUUGCUCGGAGCCAUGUCUGCAAUUCCAGAUUGACACGAUGUUGAUAAAGACGACAUUGUCUCCUGGCGAAGAAGAUGGCGUUGUUGGCGUGGUCUCUGG